rnacentral:rRNA from 1 species
UACGGGGGGGGUAAGCGUUGUUCGGAAUUACUGGGCGUAAAGGGCUCGUAGGCGGCCAACUAAGUCAUACGUGAAAUCCCUCAGCUUAACUGGGGAACUGCGUGUGAUACUGGAUGGCUUGGAUUUGGGAGAGGGAUGCGGAAUUCCAGGUGUAGCGGUGAAAUGCGUAGAUAUCAGGAGGAACACCGAUGGCGAAGGCAGGUCUCUGGGCAUUAACUGACGCUGAGGAGCGAAAGCAUGGGGAGCGAACAGGA